UUCAGAUAUACAAUCACAGAGCCUUCUGAUGGUAAAUGGGGAGAUUAUGAGGAUAUGAAUUUAACCUAUAAUGGUCUAGUUGGUCAACUCCAGAGACAAGAAGUAGACAUGGUUGCAUCUCCUUUAUCAAUGUCGCUUGACAGAAAUAAAGUCAUGGAUUUCAGUAUCCGUUCCACUAUGAGUAUACAAGCGUCAUCUUUAAAAAACCGGAUGUUAAUGC
rnacentral:lncRNA from 1 species